GCGGGAGAGGCAGAGUGGCCAAAUGCGCAAGGUUCAGAGCCUUGUCUCUUAGUGGGUACGCGUGUUCGAAUCACGUCUCCCGCA
rnacentral:tRNA from 1 species